CUUCCUCUUUCCUAGCAAAAUAGAGGAGGAAGAGAGGCAGGUUGAUGGCUGCCAUAUCGUGGUCUGACGAGGUAGUAGUAGGCGGUGGUGGCAGGCAGUAGAGGGCGGCUAGUGGUGGCGGCCAGUCGGCUGAAUUCAACCCAAAAAUAGGGUCAAAUAGGUUGAUUCUUAGCUCGAUUGUACUCGGAUCCCACCGCACUCGUCGACGGCUGGAGGUCCGGCUCCAACUAGGGAUGAAGGUAGAGAGGCUGGACAACUCAAUCAAGGCCUCGACGUCAAGAAAUGGUGG
rnacentral:lncRNA from 1 species